ACAGCAGUCGCCGCGGUAAUACAGAGGGUGCAAGCGUUAAUCGGAUUUACUGGGCGUAAAGGGCGCGUAGGUGGUUAUGUAAGUGAGAUGUGAAAUCCCCGGGCUCAACCUGGGAACUGCAUCUUAUACUGCGUAGCUGGAGUGCAGUAGAGGGUAGUGGAAUUUCCGGUGUAGCGGUGAAAUGCGUAGAUAUCGGAAGGAACACCAGUGGCGAAGGCGGCUACCUGGACUGACACUGACACUGAGGCGCGAAAGCGUGGGGAGCAAACAGGAUUAGAUACCCGAGUAGUCCCUGUCUCUUAUAA
rnacentral:rRNA from 1 species